AGAGUUUGAUCCUGGCUCAGAUUGAACGCUGGCGGCAUGCCUUACACAUGCAAGUCGAACGGCAGCGGGGGAGAAGCUUGCUUCUCCUGCCGGCGAGUGGCGAACGGGUGAGUAAUACAUCGGAACGUGCCCAGUAGUGGGGGAUAACUACGCGAAAGCGUAGCUAAUACCGCAUACGACCUGAGGGUGAAAGUGGGGGACCGCAAGGCCUCAUGCUAUAGGAGCGGCCGAUGUCUGAUUAGCUAGUUGGUGGGGUAAAGGCCUACCAAGGCGACGAUCAGUAGCUGGUCUGAGAGGACGAUCAGCCACACUGGGACUGAGACACGGCCCAGACUCCUACGGGAGGCAGCAGUGGGGAAUUUUGGACAAUGGGCGCAAGCCUGAUCCAGCCAUGCCGCGUGUGGGAAGAAGGCCUUCGGGUUGUAAACCACUUUUGUCAGGGAAGAAACGGCUCUUACUAAUAUUAGGAGCUAAUGACGGUACCUGAAGAAUAAACACCGGCUAACUUCGUGCCAGCAGCCGCGGUAAU
rnacentral:rRNA from 1 species